GACGAACCACACGAACGUUAUUCGGAAUUACUGGGCUUAAAGGGUGCGUAGGCGGCGCAGAAAGUAGGGUGUGAAAUCCCUCGGCUCAACCGAGGAACUGCGCCCUAAACUACUGUGCUCGAGGGAGGUAGAGGUGAGCGGAACUUAGGGUGGAGCGGUGAAAUGCGUUGAUAUCCUAAGGAACACCGGUGGCGAAAGCGGCUCACUGGACCUCUUCUGACGCUGAGGCACGAAAGCUAGGGUAGCGAACGGG
rnacentral:rRNA from 1 species